AUUGAACGCUGGCGGCAGGCCUAACACAUGCAAGUCGAGCGGUUGAGGUAGCUUGCUACCGAUGCAGCGGCGAACGGGUGAGUAAUACAUGGGAAUCUGCCUGGUAGUGGGGGACAACGUCUCGAAAGGGACGCUAAUACCGCAUACGCCCUACGGGGGAAAGGGGGGGAUCUUCGGACCUCUCGCUAUCAGAUGAGCCCAUGUCAGAUUAGCUAGUUGGUGGGGUAAAGGCUCACCAAGGCGACGAUCUGUAACUGGUCUGAGAGGAUGAUCAGUCACACUGGAACUGAGACACGGUCCAGACUCCUACGGGAGGCAGCAGUGGGGAAUAUUGGACAAUGGGCGCAAGCCUGAUCCAGCCAUGCCGCGUGUGUGAAGAAGGCCUUAGGGUUGUAAAGCACUUUCAGUGGGGAGAAAGGUUAUUCACCUAAUACGUGAGUAAAUUGAUGUUACCCACAGAAGAAGCACCGGCUAACUCCGUGCCAGCCGCCGCCGUAA
rnacentral:rRNA from 1 species